ACCUUGAUGUUAGCAUGGACUUUAGUUAUUAUUAUUAAUAAAUCAAGCUGGGCAUGGUGGCACAUAUUUACAGUCCUGGCUACCCCUUGGCAGAUUCUCCUCUCUUUUGGAGAAGAUUGACAUUCAAAUGAAAGUUCAAUCAAAUGUUACUUCCUACGUGGUAGAUGUCAGGCAAAUUCUACCUGCCCCUGAAUUCCUAAGAUGCUGCCUACUUGACGCCCUCUCAACUUGGAAACUCCUCCUCCAGCGCUCCUAGUGUGUCACACUUGAUGCCUGCCUUAUUCAGGUCACUGCCUUUUCUCUUAUUC